UGGGGAAGUUCUCCUGGAUAAUAUCCUGAAGAGUGUUUUCCAACUUGGUUCCAUUCUCCCCAUCACUUUCAGUUCAGCCUUGAUGAAGACCUGGACUAUUGAAUGGAGCAGAAAUUCACCUCUUUCACUGAUUAUUACAGUUGCAUUUUUAUGGAGUUCUUCUUCUCCUAGUAUUCCUAAGACUGCUGCUGAAUUUAUAAAAAUUAAGUUUGUGAAUGUGACUACUUAGUGGUGUAUAUGAGACUUUCAAGGGAAUUAAAUAAAUAAAUAAAUAAAUAAAUAAGAAUGUUAUUGAUUUGAGUUUGCUUUAAUUACUUGUCCUUAAUUCUAUUAAUUUCUAAAUGGGCUUCCUAAUUUUUUGUAGAGUUUCCUAGAUGUAUUAUAAUGUGUUUUAUUUGACAGUGUUUCAAUUUGCAUAUACAGUACUGUAUAUUUUUUCUUAUUUGGUUUGAAUAAUUUUCCUAUUACCAAAUAAAAAUAAAUUUAUUUUUACUUUA
rnacentral:sRNA from 1 species